AAAACUUUCAACAACGGAUCUCUUGGUUCUGGCAUCGAUGAAGAACGCAGCGAAUUGCGAUAAGUAAUGUGAAUUGCAGAAUUCAGUGAAUCAUCGAAUCUUUGAACGCACAUUGCGCCCUCCGGUACUCCGGGGGGCAUGCCUGUUCGAACGUCAUGACAGCCCUCA
rnacentral:rRNA from 1 species